rnacentral:rRNA from 1 species
GAUGAACGCUGGCGGCGUGCCUAAUACAUGCAAGUCGAGCGAACGGACGAGAAGCUUGCUUCUCUGAUGUUAGCGGCGGACGGGUGAGUAACACGUGGAUAACCUACCUAUAAGACUGGGAUAACUUCGGGAAACCGGAGCUAAUACCGGAUAAUAUUUUGAACCGCAUGGUUCAAAAGUGAAGGACGGUCUUGCUGUCACUUAUAGAUGGAUCCGCGCUGCAUUAGCUAGUUGGUAAGGUAACGGCUUACCAAGGCAACGAUGCAUAGCCGACCUGAGAGGGUGAUCGGCCACACUGGAACUGAGACACGGUCCAGACUCCUACGGGAGGCAGCAGUAGGGAAUCUUCCGCAAUGGGCGAAAGCCUGACGGAGCAACGCCGCGUGAGUGAUGAAGGUCUUCGGAUCGUAAAACUCUGUUAUUAGGGAAGAACAUAUGUGUAAGUAACUGUGCACAUCUUGACGGUACCUAAUCAGAAAGCCACGGCUAACUACGUGCCAGCAGCCGCGGUAAUACGUAGGUGGCAAGCGUUAUCCGGAAUUAUUGGGCGUAAAGCGCGCGUAGGCGGUUUCUUAAGUCUGAUGUGAAAGCCCACGGCUCAACCGUGGAGGGUCAUUGGAAACUGGAAAACUUGAGUGCAGAAGAGGAAAGUGGAAUUCCAUGUGUAGCGGUGAAAUGCGCAGAGAUAUGGAGGAACACCAGUGGCGAAGGCGACUUUCUGGUCUGUAACUGACGCUGAUGUGCGAAAGCGUGGGGAUCAAACAGGAUUAGAUACCCUGGUAGUCCACGCCGUAAACGAUGAGUGCUAAGUGUUAGGGGGUUUCCGCCCCUUAGUGCUGCAGCUAACGCAUUAAGCACUCCGCCUGGGGAGUACGACCGCAAGGUUGAAACUCAAAGGAAUUGACGGGGACCCGCACAAGCGGUGGAGCAUGUGGUUUAAUUCGAAGCAACGCGAAGAACCUUACCAAAUCUUGACAUCCUUUGACAACUCUAGAGAUAGAGCUUUCCCCUUCGGGGGACAAAGUGACAGGUGGUGCAUGGUUGUCGUCAGCUCGUGUCGUGAGAUGUUGGGUUAAGUCCCGCAACGAGCGCAACCCUUAAGCUUAGUUGCCAUCAUUAAGUUGGGCACUCUAAGUUGACUGCCGGUGACAAACCGGAGGAAGGUGGGGAUGACGUCAAAUCAUCAUGCCCCUUAUGAUUUGGGCUACACACGUGCUACAAUGGACAAUACAAAGGGCAGCGAAACCGUGAGGUCAAGCAAAUCCCAUAAAGUUGUUCUCAGUUCGGAUUGUAGUCUGCAACUCGACUACAUGAAGCUGGAAUCGCUAGUAAUCGUAGAUCAGCAUGCUACGGUGAAUACGUUCCCGGGUCU